GACAGAGGGUGCAAACGUUGUUCGGAAUUACUGGGCGUAAAGCGCGUGUAGGCUGCUCGGAAAGUCGGAUGUGAAAGCCCUGGGCUUAACCUAGGAAGUGCAUUCGAAACUUCCGAGCUGGAGUUCUGGAGAGGAAGGCGGAAUUCUCGGUGUAGAGGUGAAAUUCGUAGAUAUCAGGAGGAACACCUGCGGUGUAGACGGCUUUCUGGACCAUUGUUGACGCUGAGACACGAAAGCGUGGGUAGCAAACAGG
rnacentral:rRNA from 1 species